CUCCCUCCCACUAUCAACAUCUGCAUCGUUAAUGCAGCAUGUGGGAAUCAAACCUGUGCUACUAACUCUGAUGGAUCGUAGGCACUAAUAAUUUCAAAAGCAUAUGUUGUAGAAAGGUUGCACCCAUCAUACUUAGAGAUUCAGCCACAAUGCUUAUGAGUUUCAACUUGACUGAAUACACCUGAGUGUUAGGUCUAUUGUUUGAUUUCUUACCGUACUAUUAUGGACUGCAGCCUCACUCAACUUAUUGAGCUCACCCGACUCAACUUAUUAGUUUCGUAAAUCUAUUGUGACGGAGCAAAAUGCUGGUUCCAUUUUUAGCCAAUAAUA
rnacentral:lncRNA from 1 species